GACGAACGCUGGCGGCGUGCUUAACACAUGCAAGUCGAACGGAGAAUUUUAUUUCGGUGAAAUUCUUAGUGGCGAACGGGUGAGUAACGCGUAGACAACCUACCUCUCAGAUGGGGACAACAUCGCGAAAGCGGUGCUAAUACCGAAUGAUGUAACUUUUCUGCAUGGAAGAGUUACCAAAGGCGGCCUCUAUUUAUAAGCUGUCACUGAGAGAUGGGUCUGCGUCUGAUUAGCUAGUUGGCGGGGUAAUGGCCCACCAAGGCGACGAUCAGUAGCCGGGCUGGGAGGAUGAACGGCCAAAUUGGGACUGAGACACGGCCCAAACUCCGACGGGAGGCAGCAGUGGGGAAUCUUCCGCAAUGGACGAAAGUCUGACGGAGCAACGCCGCGUGAGUGAAGGAGGUUUUCGGAUCGUAAAGCUCUGUUGUUUGAGACGAACGUGCAAUUUUUGAAUAAGGAAUUGUAAUGACGGUAUUAAACGAGAAAGCCACGGCUAACUACGUGCCAGCCGCCGCAGUAA
rnacentral:rRNA from 1 species